rnacentral:lncRNA from 1 species
UUGUGAUAAAUGAGUAUGUGAAAUGUCUGAUAUACCCAUAAGUCAUAAGCAACAUCUUUUUAUUAACACAAUUCAUGUUGUGCCUUUCAAUUUCAUCAUUCUCCCUCUUCUCUUUUCUCCAACUUUUUUUCUUUCAAUUCUCUUUAGUCAUUUCCAAUACCUUCAUAAAAAGUUAGAGCAUUCUAUCAAACUUAAACUUAUAUUCUUUGUGGUAAGUUUUUAUGAAUUACAUUUAUUAUUUAUAUUUCUUUUAAUUAUCUUCUACUCUCAUUCAUAUUUUAGAUAGGUUAAGUCUUUUUUCUACAAAAUUUUUAGCUAUCCAACAAAAAUCUUGAUACCAUUUCUCUAUUUUACGCAUGUAAGAAUCAUUUUUUUUCUUCAUUGCAUUUCUUUUAAUUCAAAAUAUCGCGAUAGAAAAGAUUUGAUUUUAUGUUUGAUAGAUCCAAAUAAAAUUGAUAGCAUAAGAGGAUAAUUGAAAGAAGUUCUAGAAAAGAGUAAGACGAGAUCGAAGGAUGAAAGUCAUUUUAUGUCACAAAAUGUGUACAGUUAUAGAAAAUAAAAAGAUGAAUUUUCUUUUGUCACCUAAGAGCAUAAUUAAUGGACAGUUUAAAUGUUGAUUCAUACUAAAACUCAUUAUUUUGAGAGACUGUCAAAGAAAUCUAACCCCCUUGAAUCUGUCCUUGUUUUUUUACAAUGAUCCAAAAUUAUGGGGUACUGAAUAUUGACAUUUAAAACGAACUUUAACUUAUACAAUGGUUCCAAAAUAUUGUAAUGUGUAAUUUUGAAAAACAAAUAUAGAAAAAAGUUGCUUUCGAAAAAUAACAGUCUUGGUUUGCUCAACCUUUGCAAAUGGAUAAGCUUUUCAUAUUUCUGUUUGGCCAUAUUCAUACUAUAUCUAUAUCUUUCUGGGUACACUAAAAUACUACGGGUAAACAUAAAGUUUCAAAAAUCACUACAAUCUCGAAUGUAUUAGUUUUGACAAUUUUCCAAGUUCAAAAGUUUAAAUUAAUACAAAACAGAAAGUUUAGGUUAGGUUUAAGAGGGAAAAUAUUAGUCUUAACCAAACACUAAAAUAAACUUCUUUAACGAAUUUUCUAAAAUAAUUGUGAUUGUCCAAGAAGAUUCUUGAUCUAAAAUAAUGGGUUUUGGCCUCAAUCAAAAUUACUUAAACUGAAUCCAAAAAUCAAAAACACUCUACACAUAUUUGUAUUAUCUCAAUCAACAUUUUCAGUUUUGAUAUAUCAUCCCAAUCCUAAUUUGAAAAACGCAACAAAAAAUCUCCAUAAACUCCUAAUUUCCUUAUCUCAAAACCAUUCGCUUCACGAUUCUGGACGGUCAGCUUCACUAACAAAUUGGGUUGGGCAAGACUCCGAGAGGCCCGAUCUUCGGAGGAAUUGAACUCCCCGCUCCGACUUCACCUACGGUGACUCUAAUCAAGACUUCGACGAACAGCGGCGCCGGCGGAUCGAGCUUCGGCAGCCAUGUUCUAAUCUAAUAUGGAAGAAAGCGGGAAAAGAUUUUAAGGAGGAAACGAAAUAUUUCACCAGCAAAGGCUCCAUUUAUGACAAAAGAAUGGGGGCCUUUUUCUAAUUUCUUAUGGGCCCAGCCCAACUAUAAUCAAUUAUUGGGCUUCUCGUUUUGAAGGGGUCCGGCUUUUAAUGAGCACAGGCCCAAUUCAACAAUUUACUGGGCCUAUUUAGGUAUUUAAGCCAUAGCCACGAAUACCAUCAGAUUUGUAAUUUUAGAGAUAAUAAUAAAGUGUUAGUAACAUUUUAAUUUUUUUUAAAUAUAUUAAAGUCCAUCAACAUGAAUGUUUAUCGAUAAUAGACUUGUAUGGUCUAUUAGUUAUAGACCAUGAUUAUAAGGGUUUAUAAGGAUAUAAAAGUCUACGGAUAAACUUUACUACGAUCAUAAUUUUUUAAACAUGUUGUUGUGUAUGCUAAUAAUUUAAUUAUAAUUACUAUAUUUGCAUUUGUAUCCAAAAAAAAAGUGUAUGCGAUAGAUUUCUCACGUGAAAAAAAUCAUUUAUCUUUA